ensembl:lncRNA
GUUUACGAGGAAUUGUGAAGGGCAUCAGAAGGAGAAAGGUCAAAAAAUGAUAGCAGACCUGUGUUGGAACAUGUUACACUAAAUGGUUUGUUCGGUAUCUAUUAGCCUUUAUUUAUAAACACCUGCAAACAACUUACUGUGUAACGUUGAGUAUUAUGUGAAAAUUAGUUGUGAUCAUGUGCAAACAACACUUUAUUAAAACCUUGUUAUACAAACUAUUGUGCAUGAAUUAUUAAUCUAAACUCACUUGUUAGUUUUAGUUGUCUAUGUUAGACCUUUAGGUUCUAGGUAGCAUGAAAUGUCUACAGUUUAUGGCUUUAAGUGUUCCCUUCAGUGUUGUCAGCUGACAGAUAGAAGGGCUGAACAAUAAAAUAAAACAACAAUAAUAUAAAUAAUAAAUGGAUUUGUUGGCUUGUCUGGUUGUUUUUUAACGCCAUGCCAGCUUCUAUAGCUAUUUCCAUGGUGAGAAAUGUGUAAGGAACUCUAUAUAAGGUUUUUAAAAUCUCUUUUUCCUAAAAACUUUAAAAUUGCGUUAGGUUUGACUUUUUUUUUUUAAUUUGAAAAAUUUCUUCCAGAAUGUUGACUGCAUAAAAAAGGUUUCUCACUGGGUUAAGACCAGUACAGUCUAAUAAAACAUGUUUCAAGGAUAAUGGAUUCUGGCAGAAGGUACAGUACAUGUUGGUGAGUCUUCUAAUAUUAAAACCGUGUGUGUCAUCCUGGAGUGACCUAUUCGACAGCGGGUGUAGACGAUCUGGUCCCAGCGAUUUGAAAACAGGAAACGUUUCUUUUGGUUUAACCGGCGUGAUAAGAAGGCGUGUCCGUCCACAUGUGCAGACACACUAAAGUCAGGAGUUACUGUUCGGUGGUUGAUAGAGGACAGGAGUCUGAUUGGUCGAAAGGCGGAAAAGGAGAACCCAGAUAAGAGUGAGACAACCCUUGUAUCAUCACCAUAUGCAAAUGAGUAAAGGUCAUUAAAAUGCUGAGGGAAGGGGGUUAUUUGACAGAACUCUGGGGGACCGCUGGACAAAACGGAGACACCGAGCCUGCAGACAAAUAGAAAGGAAGGAAAGAUGACAGGGAAGGUGUUAAAUGAGUGUAAUUAAGCUGUGUGUUAACACCUACUUCAAGGGGACACGAAACAAGUGACCUUAAGGAACAAUCCGGAAAUUUCUCACACUAAGGUUCACAAGGUCUUAUAUUGUCUUCUGGACAGGAUAUCAUCAUAUACUGUAAGUUCAUUAUGGAGACACUACAGUAUAGAUGAUGUACUAUCCAGUGUGGCAUACCUCCUCCUGUGGGAUACCACACACACGCACAGUCUGUGAUAGAGAGAGGCGGUUAAACCGUUACCAUUACUGAGUUUAGUAAUGGUAAGGGUUCUUUUGCUUCUUCUCGCUGGCACCAACUAUCGAAAACGCCAACUGGAAUGAACUUCAUAUGAAUAUUUUAUAAAUAUGUCAUAACAGCAUUGUAGUUCUAUCUGAUAUAAAUUCAUUUCUUAUUUAACGUAACAUUGCUUGAUGUGGAACUACACGCUGAAUCUUGUCCUUGUACAAUGACCAUAAAGGUAUUCAUAUUAGUAUAAGUGCAUGAAUUCAGUAAAUUCAUUUAAAAAAAAAAAAAAAAGUCUAUUUUGCAUGCGGGCUGUGUUUAUGAUUAAAAUGUCUUGAAUUAACACAAAAUAGUGUGUCAGUAGUAACUACUUUCAGUGUAUAAAUGUAUUAUGUUGUGCCUUGGUGAAUUGUUAUAUUAAUUCGUCAAACAUGUAUCAUACACGACCAUUUCAGGUCAUCAGUUUUUGAGUUUUUUUUGCAUUGGGUGCCUUGCGGAAGGAAUUGGCAUCCUUGACUGAGUACUGAUAAUAGCAAAUAUUAUGUGCUGAAUACUAUCAAUAAUGUACUAUGGCUCAAUAAACACAUCCAGCUGAAUCAAUAACUCUCCACAUUCUUCAAAUCCAUAUUUUAUUUACACACAAUAUAGUGUAAUAUUUUUCCAGAAACAAUCUUUUUUUUAUUUAGAAAAAAAAAAAAGGUCUUAUUGUCGCUGACCUCAAAUAACUCGGCAAGAAAGGGGGGAGAGGGAGAGAGAGAGAGAGAGAGAGAGAGACCUUGCUUUGGGCUAGCUUAUCUAUGAAUUAGCGAUCCAUCACCAUGGCCUGGAUAAGAAGUGACUGCCUGCCAGGUUCAACCACAGGGGAGGAUACAAGAACAAAUGCAUCGCGGCCAGUGUGUGCCCAUUUUAGUGGCAGGUUAGAGCUCCAUUAGAGGGGUAAUGUAGCCCUGUGGGGCUGCGCCUUUAGUUAAGUUCUAGCAGCUGCGAAAGACAAGCAGGAACUGAGAGAGGGAAGGACGGCAAAGAGCUGGCAAAAAACUAAAUAAAAUCCUAUGUAGCACAUAAAUAACUGAAGGGCACCGCUGGCAAUAUAACAAUAUGAUAUCAGGGAUAUUACAUUAUAUUAACAUCAUUAUACAAUUUUAUGAGUAUUAUGGAUAAUAAUCAGGCACUGGGGGGUUUAUGACUACACUGUAUAAGUAACUGACUGGAAGUUGAAAUGUAUUCCAGGAUCAACGGGUUCAUUUAAUUAAUUUUCCAUAUUCAGUACUUCAAUAAGUGAUACACAAGUUCAGCCAAUGAAAAACAUUCAGCCAAAAAAAUGUGAACAAAAAACCAGUUUCACAUAAGAGCUUUUCCACUACAUGCUUUAUACAGUAGACAAGAAAGAAUGACUUUCUGGUUAAUGUCUGGUUUUAUUAUUUAUUUUGUGUGUUUUAUUUCUCUACAGUGGAGUAAUCUCCUACUGAAAGGACUGACCUUACAGUAAUAAAGUGUUUUUUCAUUGCCUUUUUACAGAAAGCAUUUUUUUUUUUUUUUUACUUUUCAAAGGCAUUAGAAGUAAAAAAAAAAAAAGAUACAAAAAAAAUAAUUAACAA